rnacentral:rRNA from 1 species
CGCUGAACUUAAGCAUAUCAUAAGCGGAGGAAAAGAAACCAACAGGGAUUGCCUCAGUAACGGCGAGUGAAGUGGCAACAGCUCAAAUUUGAAAUCUGGUUCCUUUUGGGGCCCGAGUUGUAAUUUGUAGAGGAUGCCUUCGGGUUUGGCCCUGGCCUAAGUUCCUUGGAACAGGACGUCAUAGAGGGUGAGAAUCCCGUAUGUGGCUGGUGGUCUAUACCCAUGUGAAGCUCCUUCGACGAGUCGAGUUGUUUGGGAAUGCAGCUCAAAAUGGGUGGUAAGUUUCAUCUAAAGCUAAAUACUGGCGGGAGACCGAUAGCGCACAAGUAGAGUGAUCGAAAGAUGAAAAGCACUUUGGAAAGAGAGUUAAAAAGUACGUGAAAUUGUUGAAAGGGAAGCGCUUGCAACCAGACUUGCCCUUGGUUGAUCAACCUGGUGUUCUUCACCGGUGCACUCUGCUAAGGUCAGGCCAGCAUCGGUUUGGGUGGUUGGAGAAAGACCAUGGGAAUGUGACUUCCUUUCAGGGAGUGUUAUAGCCCUAGGUGUCAUGCGACCAGCCUGGACUGAGGACCGCGCCUUUAGUGGCUAGGAUGCUGGCAUAAUGGUUGUAAGCGACCGUCUUGAAACACGGACC